AUUAAAUUUAAUUUAAGUUUAUUUAUUAGUGUAUAGUUUAAUUAAAAUGUAAAUUUUAGUGUGAAUUAAAAUAAAUUUUAAUAGUUUAUUUUAAAUGUUUAGUUUCAAUUUAUAAAUUUUAAUAUUUAAGAAAUUAAUAUUAAGUAAAUUAUUUAAUAUUAGUUAAAAUUGUGCCAGCAACUGCGGUUAUACAAUUAAUAUAAAUUAAUUAUUUUAUAUAUUAAUAAAAAUUUAAUUAUAAAUUAUAAUAAUAUUAUUAUUAUUUAAGGUGAAAUUUUAUAAUAAUUUAAUUAUUUAAAUAAUUUUAUUUAUUAUUGUUAAUUACUUUUAAGAUUAAACUAGGAUUAGAUACCCUAUUAUUUAAAAUAUCAAUAUAUUAUAAAGAAUUAAAUUUUAAAAUUGAAAUUUAAAAAAUUUGGCGGUAUUUUAAUCUUUUCAGAGGAACUUGUUUAUUAAUUGAUAAUACUCAUUAUAUUUUACUUAAUUUAUUAAUUUGUAUAUCGUUGUCAUAAGAAAAUCUUAAAAAAGUAUUAAUUUUCUAAUUUUAUUAUUUUAAUGUAUGUCAGAUCAAGGUGCAGUUUAUAAUUAAGAAUAAAUUAGUUACAAUAAAUUUAUUUAAGUGGAUAAUUUUAUUAAAUUUAAAUUUGAAAUUGGAUUUGAAAGUAAAUUUUAAUUAUUAUUUAAAAUUGAUUAAAGUUUUAAAAUAUGUACAUAUUGCCCGUCGCUCUUAUAAAAUAAAUAAGAUAAGUCGUAACAUAGUAGAUGUACUGGAAAGUGUUUCUAGAUUCAA
rnacentral:ncRNA from 1 species